AACUGAUACUACCUGCGGGAACCUGCGGAAGGAUCAUUACUGAGGAGGGUCCAUGGCCCGAUCUCCAACCCUUUGAUAAAAACACCAUGUUGCUUUGGCAGGCCCGCCCGUUGGGGCCGCGGGGGAUCGCCGGUCCCUAGCCCGUGCCUGCCGGUAGCCUUCACAAAACUCUCAAAAUGUUGUCGUCUGAGAUGAUUAGAAUAAUAAAACUUUUAGCAAUGGAUCUCUAGAUCGGAAGAG
rnacentral:misc_RNA from 1 species